rnacentral:rRNA from 1 species
CCUUCGGGUUGUAAAGCUCUUUCAGCUGGAAAGAAACGGUAGAGGUUAAUAACCUUUGCUAAUGACGGUACCAGCAGAAGAAGCACCGGCUAACUACGUGCCAGCAGCCGCGGUAAUACGUAGGGUGCGAGCGUUAAUCGGAAUUACUGGGCGUAAAGCGUGCGCAGGCGGAUUGUUAAGCAAGAUGUGAAAUCCCCGGGCUUAACCUGGGAAUGGCAUUUUGAACUGGCAGUCUAGAGUGCGUCAGAGGGGGGUGGAAUUCCACGUGUAGCAGUGAAAUGCGUAGAUAUGUGGAGGAACACCAAUGGCGAAGGCAGCCCCCUGGGAUGACACUGACGCUCAUGUACGAAAGCGUGGGUAGCAAACAGGAUUAGAAACCCUAGUAGUCC